UAGAAUGCUCCCUUUUGGAGGUCUGCCUCUAUAUAAGAAGUUUCACUGCUUGGUGACAAUCCUGCUGUGUGGAAGUCAGAGCUAGCCAUGAAGUAAAGACUUCUUGAACCUUCCUUCUGAGCCGAGAUAGUACAGGAGAUAACCUCUGUUAAUGCUGCAUGCAGCAGAAGAACCACCCAGAUGAACCCUGCCUCCAUUCUUGACCUGCAGUAGAAUUCAGAAGACUGCAAUGGUCAAUCCCUCUCCAAAAGUGUACAUUCAAUUUUCCUUACGUUUGAUGAGUUUAUAAAAAGGAAUGAAACAUUUGUAAACCUUCUGUCCCUUCAUCGCAAAUCAAAGAAAUCAAGUGGACUUAAGACAUUCAUGAUCAUCUGGCCUCACCUCAGUGUGCCCCAUCUGUGCAUACCACUGUGCCAGGCACUGGAGAGAGGACAACCAGCAGUCCUGCCCUCAAGAUGCACUGGACUCCGUGGCGAGCACAGGCUUGCUGUGAGUGCCAAGUCAUCAGAAGCACAGUGUUGGAGAGGACUGCGUGUGACAGAGGAGACCACGGAAAUACCCGAAGAGACAGCAUGGGAACCAGACUACACAGGCUGAGGACAAUUUUGAUAAACAAAUAGUGGGAGGGUGAUUUGGUUUUGGGACUGGGUGCAGUGGGGGAAAGAGAGUUUGACGGUAAAUAAAACAGGAGUGUGAACCCAAGCAUAGGUCUGGAGCAAAGACCAUAUCUUGGUGAGCCUGGAGUAAAGGAGGUACCUUCUAGAAGGAAAAGAAGGAGUUUAGUAGGAGAUGGUUCCAGAUGAUAAUUGGACCCAAUUGGUGAGUGACCCCAAGGGCCAAUGUUUGGCAUUUGCUCUGGAAAACCUUGGGUGCCAUUGGAGGUUUCUGAGUGACAGAAUGGCCUGAUUAAAGAAGAUGGUGGCAAGAAUGUCCCAUGAGUAUCUUCACGAAAGCAUCUCAAGCGUGGCCUUGUCAGACCCAGUACUCGUGUGCUCCUUGCAGGUUCAGUACAGGUUGUUCUGCAGGGCCUCAAGUCCAUGACCCCAGGGCUUGUGUGUCAACAAAGGAAGACCCUGUGGACGGGCCUAUGACGGAACAUUGAGAGGAUCUGAAACUAGCCAGCUGCCUCCAGCUGGACCAGAUGUUCAAGACUGGGUGGCUCUUCUCAACGGGCUCUCAGUUUGGUAAAGGCAGAUUCUCAUCGAGACGGUACGAUGG